rnacentral:lncRNA from 1 species
GCCGGGGCGUCCCCCGCGGGAGCCCGCAGCCACCCGGGACGCGCAUCCAGACGUGGCGCUUCGGACCGGGCACGCUGCGCCCGGGGGCUCGGCGGACCCCGCGUAGCCGCCGCUUCGGAGCUUGUGCGGCGCGGGCUGGCCAGCGGGGCGGCCAGGGCCCGGCCCGCCUCCCCAGCGCCCGCCCGGCUUCUCCCCCUGGCGGUGGGAGCCUCGGCGGCCGCUGGCGACACUAGGCGCACUGAAGCCCGAGCCGAGCCGAGCCCGAGCCGCCGCCGCCGCCGCCGCUGCUGCGCACCGCUCCCGGGCUCCCUCCCAGCGCGCCGGCCGGGGUGUGGGGGGCGGCGGGCCGGAGGGGCGAGGGCGGGCCAGGGGGCGCACACGGGGGUUGGCGCGGAAGACAGGACCCUCAGCCUCGAGGGAGCCCCUAGGUGACCAGGCAAAAUGGCAGUUCCUUCCAGCUGGUCCUCAGAUGGGCACAUCUAUUAGCCUCUGCUCUUGUAAGAAGUUAGCUGCAGAACCCACAUGUGAAUCCUUGUAGGACUCUGGAGAAGAUCAAAUGGGAGCUUAGAUGUGGAAGCUCUUUGGAAACCAAGAAACACUCUGAAAAUGAAAAGGGAUCUCAACUUUUCUCUUCCCGCUCCAGCUGCACUAUGUAUCCGUGCUUGGCUCUCAGUUGUUGGAUUCUCAUGUCUCCUUUUUCACAGUGGCUCAGGUGGAAGAGUAAACUGUUCCUGUUUCUCCAUCUUGACAGGAAGCAGAAGUUCUCCUUAGCUGAUUUUUCUUCUUGCCUUAUACUGGGUUCUUUAACACCAGAACAAAAAUAAAUAAAUAAAAGAAUCUUCCAGAAAUUCAUGAAGAGACUUCAGGUCAGGAAAGCCUGAACUUUCUCAUCCAACACCCGUUCAAGUCGGAGGAUGCUGAUUAAUUCAUGAUGGAAAGGUAUCAAUUUCACAGCCCAGACCUCUACAUUCUUGAAAUGCUCUUCUCAUGGGAGACAUUAAAUAAGCUUUGAAUUAACUUGCCAUGACACCCAGGAUGCAGCUGUAGGAACACCACUGGGUCCCUGGAUGUCAUGUAAGCCCUUAAGUAAAAGUGCCAUCAAAUGAUUUCUCAGAAAUUAUAAAGAAACAAAAGGACCAUAAACAAGAUAAGGUGGCAUGAGGAAACAUUACAAGUACCUUUCAGAGCUGACUGGCAAAGAAACUCCUGAGGUGACGGUUCUACCCCAAUAUUACUUCUUCGAAGAGCAACCUAACUCUUAGGUGGCCUAGAGGGGCAAGACUGGUGUGGCAAAUUGGGAUCAGCAGUGU